rnacentral:rRNA from 1 species
AGUGAACGCUGGCGGCAGGCCUAACACAUGCAAGUCGAACGGCAGCACAGCAGUAGCAAUACUGUGGGUGGCGAGUGGCGGACGGGUGAGGAAUACAUGGGAAUCUGCCCUGUCGUGGGGGAUAACGUAGGGAAACUUACGCUAAUACCGCAUACGACCGAGAGGUGAAAGCGGCGGACCGCAAGGCGUCGCGCGAUUGGAUGAGCCCAUGUCGGAUUAGCUAGUUGGCGGGGUAAAGGCCCACCAAGGCGACGAUCCGUAGCUGGUCUGAGAGGAUGAUCAGCCACACUGGAACUGAGACACGGUCCAGACUCCUACGGGAGGCAGCAGUGGGGAAUAUUGGACAAUGGGCGCAAGCCUGAUCCAGCCAUGCCGCGUGAGUGAAGAAGGCCUUCGGGUUGUAAAGCUCUUUUGUCCGGAAAGAAAAGCCUUCGGUUAAUACCCGGGGGUGAUGACGGUACCGGAAGAAUAAGCACCGGCUAACUUCGUGCCAGCCGCCGCCGUAA